GUCCAGACUCCUACGGGAGGCAGCAGUGGGGGAUAUUGCACAAUGGGGGGAACCCUGAUGCAGCGACGCCGCGUGGGUGAAGGAGUAUUUCGGUAUGUAAAGCCCUAUCGGCAGGGAAGAAGAAAUGACGGUACUUGAAUAAGAAGCACCGGCUAAAUACGUGCCAGCAGCCGCGGUAAUACGUAUGGUGCAAGCGUUAUCCGGAUUUACUGGGUGUAAAGGGAGCGUAGACGGCGAUGCAAGCCAGAUGUGAAAGCCCGGGGCUCAACCCCGGGACUGCAUUUGGAACUGUGUGGCUGGAGUGUCGGAGAGGCAGGCGGAAUUCCUAGUGUAGCGGUGAAAUGCGUAGAUAUUAGGAGGAACACCAGUGGCGAAGGCGGCCUGCUGGACGAUGACUGACGUUGAGGCUCGAAAGCGUGGGGAGCAAACAGGAUUAGAUACCCGUGUACA
rnacentral:rRNA from 1 species